rnacentral:rRNA from 1 species
GAUGAACGCUAGCGGCAGGCCUAAUACAUGCAAGUCGGACGGGAUUCAGGAGCUUGCUUCUGAUGAGAGUGGCGCACGGGUGCGUAACACGUAUGUAACCUACCUUUAUCAGGGGGAUAGCCUCUCGAAAGAGAGAUUAAGCCCGCAUAAAAUCACAGCACAGCAUUGUGUAAUGAUCAAAUAUUUAUAGGAUAAAGAUGGGCAUGCGGAACAUUAGCUAGAUGGCGGGGUAACGGCCCACCAUGGCGACGAUGUUUAGGGGAUCUGAGAGGAUGGCCCCCCACACUGGUACUGAGACACUGACCAGACUCCUACGGGAGGCAGCAGUAAGGAAUAUUGGUCAAUGGGCGGAAGCCUGAACCAGCCAUGCCGCGUGCAGGAAGACGGCCCUACGGGUUGUAAACUGCUUUUAUACGGGAAUAAACCCAGAUACGUGUAUCUGGCUGAAUGUACUGUAAGAAUAAGGAUCGGCUAACUCCGUG